UCCACAUUUUUACCUCAUCUUUCCUACAAGUACACUUUGUAACCAGAUUCUAACCCAUUCAUUCACUAGGGAAAUGAACAAUGUACUUUCAUUCAAACUAACUUGAAAUAUCUUUCUGGUUCAGUAUAAAAUCACAAUAUGUGCAAAGCUUAUUAACAUGUUCUAAGGUCAUGUAUGUAUCUUGUUGAUACAAAGCAUCUUGUGUGUUCUGAGAGAAACGUUAGAACAUUAAAGUAUUCUGUGAACGGAUUAACUCCAUGCCACUUUGCUCUCUAGUGGUCAUUCGGAGGCACUGAGAAACUCCAAAGAAUACACUGAGUCAGGAUCCUUCACACACCUCAGUUAUUUGUUGUGAAAGGUUUGGUGGUCCGCAAAGGUGGGCAUGUGAAUUCAACAAGAAACUGAUCUAUGCAACCCAGACAUCCAGACAAGGUAAAAUGAAAAUCAUCCUAAACAUGGCGAUGAGGCAUAAAUGACGUCUCUGUCAGGACGUCACAGAGCACAAAGGUCCUGUUCUCCACAGACGUUAUAAAGGAGGCUGCAGGGAGAGGCUCAGGGUUAAUGUUGGGCUUGUAGGGGGAGUGAGGUGGGAUACCACAGGAAGCUUAUCAGGGUCAGCUACGCACUAUGGGGAGCUGGUGUGAUUACCUUUACCGUACAUUACUGUGUGCCACCAGACUCUUUUACAGCCAUGGUCACAUUCAAGCAGAGGAAUACAAAGCUAAAUAUUUAACUUAUUUCAAGACAACAGAGGACAGCAAUGAAAAGCAAUUGAUCAACGAUUUACAUGGAAUUUGCAAAGACUUCAGAACAAUCAAUUUCUGGCUCUAAGAAAAAAACCACGGCUAUCUGCCUGUGUGUUAUCCAGGAGACCAGUGUGAACUAAGAAAAGGCUCCAGGAUUGGGAAACUAUGUGACUGCUCUCUGCUGAGAACAUGCAACUCUUUUCUACAUUGUUGUUUGUGAUUCUCUCUGUUUUACAAGUCUAACAAAA